rnacentral:rRNA from 1 species
GACGAACGCUGGCGGCGUGCUUAACACAUGCAAGUCGAACGGAACGGCCCUGCUUUUGUGGGGUGCUCGGGUGGCGACCGGGUGAGUAACACGUGAGUACCCUGCACUUGACUUUGGGAUAACUUCAGGCAACUGGGGCUAAUACCGGAUAGGAGCUCCUGCUGCAUGGUGGGGGUUGGACAGUUUCGGCGGUUGGGGAUGGAACCGCGGCGUAUCUGGUUGAUGGUGUGGUAGUGGGUUACCAAGGCUUUGACGGGUAGCCUGCCUGAGAGGGUAACCUGCCACAUUGGGACGGAGAUGCGGCCCGGACUCCUCCGGUAGGGGGCAGAGGAGAAGAGUGUACAAUGGGCGGAAGCCUAAUGUAGCAACGCCGCGUGGGGUAUGUCGGCCUGCUGUUUGGAUUGCGCUUUCGUCUGUGACGAAGCGUUAGUGACGGUAAUGGGUAAAGAAGCACCGGCUAACUACGUG